UACGAAGGGUGCAAGCGUUAAUCGGAAUUACUGGCGUAAAGCGUGCGUAGGCGGUGACUUAAGUCUGUUGUGAAAUCCCCGGGCUCAACCUGGGAAUGGCAAUGGAUACUGGGUCGCUAGAGUGUGAUAGAGGAUGGUGGAAUUCCCGGUGGUAGCGGUGAAAUGCGUAGAGAUCGGGAGGAACAUCAGUGGCGAAGGCGGCCAUCUGGAUCAACACUGACGCUGAGGCACGGAAAGCGUGGGGAGCAAACAGGGAUAGAUAC
rnacentral:rRNA from 1 species